rnacentral:rRNA from 1 species
AAAUUCUUAACGGCCGCGGUACUAAAACCGUGCAAAGGUAGCACAAUCACUUGUCCCUUAAAUGAGGACCCGUAUGAAAGGCAACAUGAGAGAAGACCUGUCUCCUAAGGCCAGCCAAUGAAAUUGAACUACCAGUACAAAAGCUGGUAUAUACAAGCAAGACAAAAAGACCCUAUGGAACUUUAACAAAUUAUUUACAUGACAUAAAUUAUAGUUUCAGUUGGGACAACUUUAGAGAAAAUUAACCCUUAAUAAUAUACAGACCAACAAGUCUAAACCAUGCCUGACCCAGUCACACUGAUUAACGAAACAAGCUACCCUAGGGAUAACAGCGCUACCUUCUCAAAGAGUCCAUAUCAACAAGAAGAUCUACGACCUCGAUGUUGGAUCAGGGUACCCCGACGGUGCAGCAGCUGUCAAUGGUUCGUUUGUUCAACGAUUAAUACCC